GAUGGAGUGAUUUGUGUCCCCGUCUCCAUGGCAACGCGGUGUUUGCUUUAAUCGGGUCGUUGCCGGGUUCACGGCACCUCUGUUCUCCGUCUGCUGAUUGACACCUAUUGUCACAAUUGUUGUACUGGAAGGUGUGAGUCAGAAGCGACAGCUGAGGAGGCUCAGCGCCUCUGAAUAACUUUGAAGAUAAAGAUGACAGAAUCAAACAGGCCGCCUGGUCACUGAGAGGACGGAGCUGCUCGCUACAUCCAGCCUUCAUGAACUGGGGAAUGUCUGUUUGCCAGGACCUCUUGAUCCGUGUGGAGCAUCAAAGAAACGCUGCUUCCGCACAGUAGAGAGCAGCUGGAGGUGUGAUCAGUGAAGAGUCCAUCAAUAUAAGCAGUUAUAUUAUUUUCAGAGUUGAAGAUCUUCAACUGGUGACAUCAACUUACACCAGCAAAAAAACUCAGUAAAAUAAACUAGUAUAAGUACAUUUGCUUUUUCCCCAUUAUUAGAGUACAACAACAUAGUUCAUUUGAAGUAUAAUGUAACCAGAUGGAAUUCAAAGUGGCUUUGACGUCUAGCAGUGGGCUGAGCGUGAUCAGGGGUGAAGGCUGGUUAAAGGGCACGUCUGUGAUACACCAGAAACAAGUGAUUUAUACACUUGACUCUUGACCUGACUGUGCAUGUAGUUCACAGCUUCCACCAACAGAGGUCAGUAAAGCUCUUCUAAAGCCUCGGCUGCUUGAGUUUGGUUCCCAGCUGACAUAAAUCUUUAUGGGUAAUAAAUGAUUUUCCUCUGAGUGCUGUGUCCUUUGAAAAAGCACCAGUAGUUCCAGAAAACUAUCUGGCCACAAAAUACCGACUGGCAUUUAACUUUCUCAACAAGGCAGCUGAAUGAAUAUUGAUUCUAAAACACCAAGUCUACACCAAUUGAGAGUCAGUGAAGCUAUUAGAGCCCUGUGUUAAUGACAGACUCCUUCCUUUCUGGGCUCUUAUUCCUUUUAGAGCAGAUGCAGUUGUCUUUCCUUCACUUUGUCGCUCUCAGCAGUGCAGCGGCAGCAGCGGCCUGACAGAACUCAUCUGGACUCGGUCCAGGAGAACUAAUAGUGUUGGUAUUUGUCCUAAGCUAUCAAUCGACGCCUCCUCAUUCUUCUGAAACAAGGCUAAAGCGUGUUCACGGCCUGGAUCACGGUCAACUAUUGAAAGAGGGAACAUGAACAAAAUAUUGUUAGAUGUCAGACGGAGCGGCUUCUGUUUCAAGCUUCGGCGAACCUCAGCGACAAACACAUCGCAGCGCAGCUCGCGACGCACAAGUGGGGCCUCGCUGCAGUGAAAGACGCGCCCCCCGCGUGCGACCGUGGCCUCCUCGCACCCGGAGACGACGCGUCGGGCUAUUUCUGGACCCCGGCGCUCCAGAGGUUCGGGCAGAGCCGAGGCGGAGAGCGCUGAUAAGCGCGCGAGAGGAAGCCGCUGGCGUUUAUCUGGACGCUACGGUUUGCUGAAUAAUGCAGCCGAACCCCCGGGCCGCUCCGCUCCCCCGCGGGGGGGGGGUGAGAACCCUGGUGGCUGAUGGCGAGCUGCGCCCCCCCCCCUCCCUCCUGCGGCCUCCGAGCUGUCAGGAGGAGCGCUCAUGACUUUUAAAGAGCCGCGCGCCGUGAGUGGAUGGGUCAUUUUCAUAGUUUAGCGAUUUGGACCGAGGCCAAAAGCAACACGAUGGAGUCUCGCUCUCUCUCUUUUGCUCUCUCUCUCUCUUUGAAACAGGAUAUUAAGUUGGUAAUGGCCAUCGGGGGAGCAGCAAAAUGACUUUUUCACACAUAGUAAUGUGAGCUAAAUCAGCCCUAUGUAUGUAACACAAGCAGGUACUUAUUUGAAUUAUUCUCAUUAUGUUGAUUUUAGCAUCAUUCAAUGCCUGAAGACACACGUUGCACUAACUCCAUCUGCUAAAGUAAACUGUUUUCCACCAGAUAUGACAAAUAAACAAAUCAGCUCCCACAUUAUUCUUGUGACUAAGAAAUGACCGAGGACCGCUUUGACUUGUUGUGCUGUUUGCGCCUGACUGAUGAGAUGAGGCUACUGUUCUACAGCUUGACGCGACCGCUCAUUAAUC